AGUCACGGGGGCCCGCAAGGGUAACCGGCGAACGGGUGCGUAACACGUGAGCAACCUGCCGAUCAGAGGGGGAUAGCCGGCCCAACGGCCGGGUAAUACCGCAUACGCUCAUCGAGGGGAUUCCCUUGGUGAGGAAACCUCCGGGGCUGAUCGAGGGGCUCGCGGCCUAUCAGCUAGUUGGUGAGGUAACGGCUCACCAAGGCGACGACGGGUAGCUGGUCUGAGAGGAUGGCCAGCCACAUUGGGACUGCGACACGGCCCAGACUCCUACGGGAGGCAGCAGUGGGGAAUCUUGCGCAAUGGACGAAAGUCUGACGCAGCGACGCCGCGUGCGGGAUGAAGCUCUUCGGGGUGUAAACCGCUGUUGCCCGGGACGAAUCCCUGGUUCAUCCAGGUUGACGGUACCGGGUGAGGAAGCACCGGCUAACUCUGUGCCAGCAGCCGCGGUAAUACAGAGGGUGCGAGCGUUGUCCGGAAUCACUGGGCGUAAAGGGCGCGUAGGUGGCUUGGUAAGCGUGUGGUGAAAGCUCGGGGCUCAACCCCGAGUCUGCCGUGUGAACUGCCGAGCUCGAGCAUAGUAGAGGCAGAUGGAAUUCCGGGUGUAGCGGUGGAAUGCGUAGAGAUCCGGAAGAACACCGGUGGCGAAGGCGGUCUGCUGGGCUAUUGCUGACACUGAGGCGCGACAGCGUGGGGAGCAAACAGGAUUAGAUACCCUGGUAGUCCACGCCGUAAACGAUGGGUACUAGCUAUCUGGGGGANCGACCCCCUUGGUGGCGGCGCUAACGCAUUAAGUACCCCGCCUGGGGAGUACGGCCGCANGGCUGAAACUCAAAGGAAUUGACGGGGGCCCGCACAAGCGGUGGAGCAUGUGGUUUAAUUCGACGCAACGCGAANAANCUUAC
rnacentral:rRNA from 1 species